rnacentral:rRNA from 1 species
UAACACCCGGAAACUGGCUGCUAAUACCCAAUGUCCCCCAGAGGUAAAAGAUUUAUUGCCUGCAUAGGAGCUCGCGUCUGAUUAUCUAGUUGGUAGGGUAAAGGCCGACCAAGGCGACGAUCAUCGAGCUGGUCUGAGAGGAUGAGCAGCCACACUGUGACUGAGACACGGCCCACAUCCUACGGGAGGCACCACUGGGGAAUAUUUCGCACUGUGCGAAAGCCUGACGGAGCAACGUCCCGUGUGGGAGGAAGGCUCUUGGGUUGUAAACCUCUUUUUUUAGGGAAGAAGCAAGUGACGGUACCUAACGAAUCACCCCGGCUAACUCGUGCCAGCCCCCGCGGUAUUCAGGAGGAUCUAGCGUUAUCCAGAAUUAUUGCGCGUACAGGCUCCGCAGGCGGAAUUUCAAGUCGGGCGUCAAACACCGAAGCUUAACUUCGGGAACGCUGUGGAUACUGAAAAACUAGAGACCAAUAGGGGUAGGGGGAAUUCCCAGUGUAGCGGUGAAAUGCGUAGAUAUUGGGAAGAACAUCGGGUGGCGAAACCGCGCUACUGGGCUUUAACUGACACUGAGCGACGAAAGCUGCGGGAGCCAAAGGGAUUAACUACCCCUGUAGUCCUCCCCGUAAACGAUGGAUACUAGGCGUUGGGGGUCUCGACCCAUUCGGUUCCGAACUAACGCGUUAAGUCUCCCGCCUGGGGAGUACGCACGCAAGUGUGAAACUCAAAUGAAUUGGGGGGGGCCCGCACGAGCGGUGGAGUAUGUGGUUUAAUUCGAUGCAACGCGAAGAACCUUACCAGGGCUAGACAUCUGUAGAACCCAGAGAAAGGUGGGGGUCCUUUAGGGAGCUACAAGACAGGUGGUGCAUGGCUGUCGUCAGCUCGUGUCGUGAGAUGUUGGGUUAAGUCCCGCAACGAGCGCAACCCUCGUCUUUAGUUGCCAGCAUUUAGUUGGGGACUCUAUGGAGAAACCCCGGUCAAAACCGGGAGAAAGGGGGAGAUGAUGUAAAGUCCUCAUGCCCUUUACCAUGGGGGAUACACACGUGAUAAAAGUGGGGUCACAGUGGAAAGAAACGUGCGAGAGACAGAGCAUAUCCGCAAAACCGGUCCUCAGUUCAGAUUGCACUCUGCAACUCGAGUGCAUGAAGGAGGAAUCGCUAGUAAUUCGCGGUCAGCAUACCC